UUUCCCUCGAAACCGCAGACGUAGAUCGGGAACAGUCAAUACUAUCUCGGCCGAACGUGCGUAUGAACGUGUCGCGAACAGCACAAGUACGAGUUCAUGAACGACUUGUCGCAGCACAUGGAGUGGCAAUCAACUUUAUUCCCUGCAUUUGCGUUUUGUUGCGCUGCGGGGUUAACGUUGGCCAACCCAAUUGCUAACGUCAGUACGCUCGCAACGGCUCCAGCGCAGCGUAGCCUCUCCACACUAGACCAAGAGCAAUCAAGCGCAGCUAUUCGUGUCAUCGUUGGAUCCAUGAUCGGGGUGGCCCUCGUCUCUAGUGUGGCUAUCUGCGUCGCCGUAUGGGCCAAGUACUGGUAUAAGAUACAAGUCAGGGUAGAGCCAAGCAAACAGUGUCCCGCAGUUUCUCAACAGACGUCGAACGUUGCGAAGGGAAUGCCAGCGGUUGCAGUGUACACGUUAUGCGACAGAGUUGAGGCUUCUCCAAAUCCGUGAAAGACUCCUGGAAAGCCCCACGCAGAUAUAGAGGAUGAAACAGAGAUUGCCACAAUGCGUGUCAUUGCAGCGUCCAGCGGUGAUCAUUCGCAGUGACUUGCACAGUGAUAGAGAGACAUAUGUGCUGCUACUGUGUGCAUCACUUGACGUUAUCUGGUGACUAGGGUGUCCAGCGACUCGGAGCAGUGAUUACGUACUUUGUACAUGGUGCUUCACUAAGGUUGACACGUAGCCUCGGAUCAAUAAAUUAUUUGGCACGUUGUGGCACCGUUA